AACGCAAGUUGCGCCCGAGGCCUUUUUGGCCUAGGGCACGCCUGCCUGGGCGUCAGUUGCCCCUCGGCGCUCCAUGCCAUGUGCGAUCUCUCACGGCUGGAUGCGGGCCUGGCCCUUCGAGUCCCUGAGCUCGGCGGGCCAAAGCGUUUGGCUUGCCCAUUGGGGCUGGCUGUGGCGAGUGGUGGAUCGAUCGCUCAGACGAGCCGUACGUCGCCCAGCUAGACCCCUCGGGUAUAUGGCCUUGUUGAACCCCCAGAAUAGCAGAUGCCGAAUGGCAUGGGCAAAACCAAGACCCCAGGUCAGGCGGGACCACCCGCCGAGUUUAA
rnacentral:misc_RNA from 1 species